rnacentral:tRNA from 5 species
GGCUCAGAAAUCGUAGACUGCAAAUCUAAUUUUGGGUAGGAUUACCCCUGGGCUU